GAAGCUGUUAAGGUUUCUAAUGAAAAAAGUUUUCCGAAGAAAAAAAAAUAGAUGUUGAAUGGUGGGAAUGUUUUUUUUUCUGUUGAUCUAUGUUAAACAUUUUUGUUUUCUCCUCAUCUUUGUUAUUAUUUUUAAUAUGAAUUAAAAAAAAAAAAAAACACCUAUAAAUUUUGACAAUACAGGUUCUGUGUUAAAAUCUGCAAAACAAAGAGGAAAAAAUAAUACUUGUUUAAAUAUAACAUAUAAUUUUGCAUUUUUUGUGUAACUGUAAAAUGAAAUUUGUUUUGUGAUUGACAAAACAGGAAUGCGACUGUGAACUCCAUUGUAUUUAUCCUACUUAUAUUUAUCAAGAAAUGGGAAGGAUCAACUGUGAUUUGUUUUAAUACUAUAUCUCUCUACCUAUAGCCUGAUCAGGAACAAAACAAAAAAGAGAAAGGAGUGUGUGUGUAUGGGGAUCAGUCAGAGAGUAUAGCAUUGUCUGACUGCUAUGUGUAACUGUUGUCCACAAAAAAAAAAUCAAUCUUCAAUUUUUUUUUCCUUUCUUAAAAAAAAAUAAAAUCAACAAAAAAUAACC
rnacentral:sRNA from 1 species